ensembl:lncRNA
GAUGAGAGGAAGGUCUUCUUUAAGCCAACCUGAAAAUGACUGGACUAUUAUAUCUAACUUUUUUAGUCAUGACCCAGUGUGGACGUGCCGUUGGAAGUUUUGUCUCACAGCUGAAGGCAACAGUGAGUGUCCAACCUGGACUCUCCACUAGUCUCGAGUGCCAUGUUGACCUAGAAGGGCGCUUUUCAGUAUCCUGGAUAAAAAUUCCCCAUAAUAAAUCUCCAAUCUGUAUAGCUACAGCUAAGUCAUUAGUAAAUGAUGUGGAAAUGUGUGAGCAAUUUGAAAACCAUUCCAGAAUCAAAGUCACAUGGAACCAAAAGACCUUCAAGCUGUCUUUUUCAUCAGUGGAGCACACGGAUGUUGGAACAUAUUAUUGUGGGAUGUUUAGUUAUAAACACGUUUUCUUUGGAAAUGGAAGUAAGCUGAUCCUUGAACAACACGCUAAUGACACUUCAUCAACCACACCAAGCAACAGCAACAAAAAGACUGAAGAGCAAAAUGGAAAGCUGUUCGAAUACCUAGGCCCAGCAUUAGCAGCAACUAAUGUGGCAUCCGUUUUUCUAAUCAUUUUACUCAUCC